GUAUCGUCUCGGGCAUUGGCUAAGAUCAAGUGUAGUCUGUUCUUUCUAGCGUGACAGCUAGAAGGCUCCCCAUCGCGGUGCCCUGUCUGUCAUUGAAUCUUUGGACCCUUGACGUCGCCUGGGGCUUGCUCUGAGUUCUGUCGUGGAUGUCACGCGUAUUGCACUGUCGCGAGCUGACGUCCAUCAACC
rnacentral:snRNA from 1 species